rnacentral:rRNA from 1 species
GAACGCUGGCGGCGUGCCUAAUACAUGCAAGUAGAACGCUGAAGGAGGAGCUUGCUCUUCUGGAAGAGUUGCGAACGGGUGAGUAACGCGUAGGUAACCUGCCUGGUAGCGGGGGAUAACUAUUGGAAACGAUAGCUAAUACCGCAUAAGAUUGAAUAUCGCAUGAUAAUUGAUUAAAAGAUGCAAAUGCAUCACUACCAGAUGGACCUGCGUUGUAUUAGCUAGUAGGUGAGGUAACGGCUCACCUAGGCGACGAUACAUAGCCGACCUGAGAGGGUGAUCGGCCACACUGGGACUGAGACACGGCCCAGACUCCUACGGGAGGCAGCAGUAGGGAAUCUUCGGCAAUGGGGGCAACCCUGACCGAGCAACGCCGCGUGAGUGAAGAAGGUUUUCGGAUCGUAAAGCUCUGUUGUAAGAGAAGAACGAGUGUGGGAGUGGAAAGUUCACACUGUGACGGUAUCUUACCAGAAAGGGACGGCUAACUACGUGCCAGCAGCCGCGGUAAUACGUAGGUCCCGAGCGUUGUCCGGAUUUAUUGGGCGUAAAGCGAGCGCAGGCGGUUAGAUAAGUCUGAAGUUAAAGGCUGUGGCUUAACCAUAGUACGCUUUGGAAACUGUUUAACUUGAGUGCAGAAGGGGAGAGUGGAAUUCCAUGUGUAGCGGUGAAAUGCGUAGAUAUAUGGAGGAACACCGGUGGCGAAAGCGGCUCUCUGGUCUGUAACUGACGCUGAGGCUCGAAAGCGUGGGGAGCGAGCAGGAUUAGAUACCCUGGUAGUCCACGCCGUAAACGAUGAGUGCAAGGUGUUAGGCCCUUUCCGGGGCUUAGUGCCGUAGCUAACGCAUUAAGCACUCC